rnacentral:lncRNA from 1 species
CAAUGCUCUAUCCAUCUGUAGGCUUUCCUCAGUACACAGAAUGCUCUAUCCAUCUGUAGGCUUUCCUCAGUACACAGAAUGCUCUAUCCACCUGUAGGCUUUCCUCAGUACACAGAAUGCUCUAUCCAUCUUAGGCUUUCAUCAGGUACACAAAUCGCUACCAUCUGUAGGCUUCCUCAGUACACAGAAUGCUCUAUACCUGUAGGCUUUCCUCAGUACACAGAUACUCUAUCCUCGGUAGGUUUUUCCUCAGUACACAGAAUGGGUCUUUUAGAAUAUUUAAUGGACUUAGAGGGGUGAUGUGACAUUAUUUUAAUAUAUUUUUAGGAAGUUGUCUGAUUUCAGGAGAGUAUUUAAACUUCAUAUUACAGAGGUAAAACUAGUUGCCUCUGAGGAAAACAUAUUCACUACAUUUUUUGAGAUUGUGAUUGGCUGAUAGGUGGUGACUGGUUACAGUUUGUGAAGGAACACUGAUUGUAAAAAAUGUUUAAACAUUCUCUUUCUAUUGGCGAUGAUGUAAUAAAGGCCCCUGAUUGUUGAAAGUCACUUUGGUUACAGUACAUGAUCAGUGUGAUGACAACGGAGAGGUCGGGGGUCAUUGGCUGAUUUGAUUUUGGCAACUGGCUCCAAUAACAAGAAUUUCCUGAAGGAAGCCAUGUUUCUGUUCUGUGUCGGCCGAUGUAUUCAAGAAAAACAAAUUAUACUACUGUGAAGUCUGCGUUGUUUUAUUUAUCAUCGCUAGAAUCAAGUCUCUUGUAAAAUAGUGAAACCACAAGUAACAGAAUACAUUUUAUGAAAUAUAAUUAUGCCACAAAAUAGCAAC